UAAGAGGUGGAUCAGGAUGAGAAAAAAAUCGUAUAAAAAGAGAGAGAACAGGCGGAAAGAAUUCAGUCGAGUGAGCAGCUCCGAUACGGCAACAACUGCAGAGCGCUAUCUGUCACCAGCUUUCUUCAUCGUAUUACCAGUCCGUAAUCAUGGACCCAUCCUCAUCAGCGACGUCAACCUGCAGAAAGAUAGGCCAGUUUGCUUCGAAGGUCACGGAAAUCAUUACGUAAAACGUGUCGUGUGGUGUAGAGGUUGGGUGAGAAAGGGAUCUUUUGCAUCUUUAUCAAGCAGGUACAAUACCCGCAAGGCUUAGAAGGUGAGGGUGAGAAAAAAAUUCGUAUAAAAGGAGAGAGAAAAGGAUACAGACAUCAGUUGGGUGAGCAUCACCGACACGGCAACAACUCCUGUGGACUGCCUGUACCAACUGGCUUCUUCAUCGCAUUAUUACCAGCUCGAAACAAUUGGUAAACAUUCCGUUUCUCUACAUAGUUUUGUAUUACUAAGUCUAUUAUUGACUAUGGGUUAAUAUGCCAUUCACUGUUUGUCUAUUUAACUAUGGCGUCGUGUUGCUGUUGGGUGUUGUAUCGUUGAUGGCUGGGUCGACCACUGGUGUACCGAUGUUUCCUUCGCCAACCCCAUCACCAAUUGGAUUGUUCAUCGAUAAACAAGUUCGCAGCAGUCAUGGUCAACUAUAAUGUCGUGCUGCUGUCGGAUGUUGUAUCGUUGAUGGCUGGGUCGACCACUAGUGUACCAAUUUCUUUUGGGUACGGAUACCAAACCGCAAUGCCGACGCCCUACUACACAACAGCAUACGUUUCAGCCGGUUAUUACACCAUCAAGGCUCCAGGGAAUUACACCACAACUUAUGAUGCCCCGACCUACUACACCGACGUCCUGAAUUGUAGAUAUCCUUCAGUUGCUGCAAGCAACCUAUUCGGAUCCCCAGCAACGUCAACCUGCAGAAGGAAAAGGCAGUUUGCAUGGCUUUCACAUUCAGAGUUAACUGGCUUCGUGAUGCUGUUGAAUGUUGUAUCGUUUCUGGCUGAGUCGACCACUGGUCCCUGGGUAUGGCGGAUACGAAGCCGCAACGCUGCUGUCUUACUACACAACAACAUACGUAACUACCUGUUACUACACCGGAACUUCCAAGUACUACACCGAAAAGGCUGAAUAUUACACAAGGACGUAUGCUACCCCAGUUUACUACACCGAGGAACCUAAGCAGCUCCUGUUUACUACACCACCAACGCAUCUGAAUGGUACAUGAUAAUCUACGCUGCCCCCAACUACUAACCUGGAGCUUCGAAGUGCAACACCACCGAUGCACAAACAAUUUUCAAGCAAGGAGUUAUUUGGCGACCUGAUGCUGUUGAAUCUUGUAUCUUGGAUGUAUAUGACCGUUGUAGUGAUGUUUCCUGGGUAUGGCGGAUAUCAAAUCGCAACGCUACCGUCUUAUUACUCAACAACUUACUCAGCGACCUGUUACUACACCGGGACUUCCACUUACUACACUGAAAAGGCUGAAUAUUACACAAGGACGUAUGCUACCCCAGGCCCAGUUUACUACACCGAGGAACCUAAGCAUUACUCUCCUCCGAGGUAUCACCAAACAGAGGCUCCUGUUAACUACACCACCAACGCAUCUGAACUACUACACUGGAGCUACGAAGUGCAACACCAUCAAUGUACAACCAAUUUGCAAGAAAGGAGUUAUUUGGUGACGUGUUGCUGUUGAAUCUUAUGACCGUUGUGAUGUUUCUUGGGUAUGGUGGAUAUUAUAUCGCAACGCUUCUGUCUUACUACGCCAAAACUUACUCAACGACCUGUUACUACACCGGGAUUUCCAAAUACUACACCGAAAAGGCUCCUGUUUACUAUGCGACCAUCGCUCCCGAGUGUUAUACGCUGUCCCCAACCGCUACACUGAAGCUCCGAAGUACUACACCCAUUGAAGGAAAACUAAUUCGCAUUCAAAGAUUAUUAUGGUGUUGUGCUGUUGUUGGAUGUUGUAUCGUUGAAGGCUGGGUCGACCACGAGUGUAACGAUGUCUCCUGGGUAUGGUGGUAUUUCAGUACUAGCAGCUAUAGAAUGGUAUACCACGUUGCUGCCUUACUACUUAACAACAACAUCAACAUACGUAACACCUACUUACUACACUGAUGCUCGUAAAUACCACAUCUCCAAGGCUCCAAGAAUAUACUGUACACGAUUAUCUACGCUGCUCCGAGCUACUGCACGGAAGUAUCACUCUACCCCAAGUUACAUCAACAAAACGUCUGAAUACUUACUAUACUGAUGCUUGAUGGUAUAUUGAUGGUACCGGAAAACUACACUACGCAUACUACCCCUGGCUACUACACCGGGGUCCUUAAUUACUACAACACCCGGCAACAAUUGAACUCUACCAAUUCUCAAUGAAAGUUAACUUUGGCUUCGGGCUGCUGUUGAGUGUUGAUGGCUGAGUCGACCACUGGUGUAUUGCUGUUCCCUGUGUAUGGUGCUUAGUCAACCGCAACGCGACUAUCUUGCUACACAACAAUAUACGCAAUGACCAGUUACUACUCCGGGAUUCUCUAUUACUACACCGAAAAGGCCGAAAAUUACGCAUCCACGGACUACACCGAGGAGUUCAAUUGCUACUGUACUCCGAGAAAGGGGAGAAGUUGCUGUUUACUACAACAUCAACGUCCCCGAAUGUUAAAUUUCAACCUACGCUGCCUACAACUUCACUGAAGCUUCGAAGUACUACACCAUCAAGUCACAUCAAAUCUGCAAUCUUUACUACUCCGAGGAAUUCAAGUACUACUGUGCUCCGAGAAACGACAGGUUGCUGUUUACUACACCAUCAACACCCCCGAAUGACAACCUUCGCUGCCCACAACUUCACUGAAGCUCCGUAGGACUACACCAUCAAGUAACCAAAUCAAAAGUAAAUAUGUUGUGUUAAUUUUGUUUCUUUGUUAUCUGUCUUUAUCUUUUUCUUUAGCUAUUCUAUUUGUCUUUAUCUUCUUCUUUAACUAUUCUGUCUUUAUUUUUUUCUGUAACUAUUUUUUUGUUUUUAAAACCUUCAAUAAUCCUACAACAAUAACCCCGGUAACAAUUUUGCCAUAAACUAUACAUCAUACUCCAUAACCCUACUUUUUAAAACCUAUUCACUUAUAAAAAAUUAAAAAAAUCAUUG